GACGAACGCUGGCGGCGUGCUUAACACAUGCAAGUCGAACGCUGAAGCCUAGCUUGCUGGGUGGAUGAGUGGCGAACGGGUGAGUAACACGUGAGUAACCUGCCCCCUUCUUUGGGAUAACGCCCGGAAACGGGUGCUAAUACUGGAUAUUCACUGAUCUUCGCAUGGGGGUUGGUGGAAAGGUUUUUUCUGGUGGGGGAUGGGCUCGCGGCCUAUCAGCUUGUUGGUGGGGUGAUGGCCUACCAAGGCUUUGACGGGUAGCCGGCCUGAGAGGGUGACCGGUCACAUUGGGACUGAGAUACGGCCCAGACUCCUACGGGAGGCAGCAGUGGGGAAUAUUGCACAAUGGGCGAAAGCCUGAUGCAGCGACGCCGCGUGAGGGAUGGAGGCCUUCGGGUUGUAAACCUCUUUCGCUCAUGGUCAAGCCGCAACAGUGGUUGUGGUGAGGUAGUGG
rnacentral:rRNA from 1 species